AGCGAACGCUGGGGGCAGGCCUAACACAUGCAAGUCGAACGAACCUUUCGGGGUUAGUGGCGGACGGGUGAGUAACACGUGGGAACGUGCCUUUAGGUUCGGAAUAACUCAGGGAAACUUGUGCUAAUACCGAAUGUGCCCUUCGGGGGAAAGAUUUAUCGCCUUUAGAGCGGCCCGCGUCUGAUUAGCUAGUUGGUUGAGGUAAUGGCUCACCAAGGCGACGAUCAGUAGCUGGUCUGAGAGGAUGAUCAGCCACAUUGGGACUGAGACACGGCCCAAACUCCUACGGGAGGCAGCAGUGGGGAAUCUUGCGCAAUGGGCGAAAGCCUGACGCAGCCAUGCCGCGUGAAUGAUGAAGGUCUUAGGAUUGUAAAAUUCUUUCACCGGGGACGAUAAUGACGGUACCCGGAGAAGAAGCCCCGGCUAACUUCGUG
rnacentral:rRNA from 1 species